rnacentral:rRNA from 1 species
UUACUGGGUACUGAUAGAUGCCCCGGUAAUUACUGGCAGUACUAUGCGUGGUGCCAUGUUUAUCUCCCUGGGGGAGAGAGAUUUUAUACGGUGGGCCUGGCAGCUGCCUGCUGGGCUAUCUGGCUGGCUUGAAAUCGAGCCACCUUUGAGAAGAAAAUGAUCAAAACUCCUUUUGAGAUAGUCUUUUCCAUGUGCUCUUUCUUACUUUAUUGGACAGGUCUGCAGCAAGGAGAUGAUGCUAAGAAGUUACGCGCAGGCGCGGAGCAGAUCAGGGCGGGGACCAUGCAGAUGAUGAAGCUGUGCGAGGCGGCCAGGCAGCCGAUCACCGGAGAGUGA